CUGGUAGUCAGUGGGGCUGUUUCUUCGAUUCCAGGCUCCUCGUGGUUGACUUCUCCGUCCACUGCAGUUCAGGCCUGCGGCAUCUGAUUGCUCUGACCAACCAAACGUCACAGGAAGCGAUGUGCGUGUGACUUCCAGGAGGAAGCUUUAAGAGCCCAUGUGAGUCUCCCCCAUCUCUUUCCGUGUUUGUGAGGUCCUGGAUGCACCUGUUGAGAUGCAGCCUCCAUCAUACUGGGUCACUGAGUGACGAUACCCACGGUGGACAUGUUGCAUGUGUAAGACAUUUUACUGCUUUAAAGCCAUUGAGAUUUGGGGGCCGUUUGUUACCACAGCAUACCCGAACCUGUCCUGACUGACAGUCACCAAGUUGGCCAAUAAGAACCUUGCCUAAGACUUUAGAAUUAGGACCUAGGCCUUUCUAGUGGGCUAGACCCAUGCUAUGUAAACCUUAUUGCUUUGUUUUUUUCCAUGGGGAUGUGGAAGCAGAGAAACCAUUCUUUAAAGAGAGAGAAGAAAACAGGAACACAGCGCCCGCCCCGGAUGCCUCUCCAUCACUCCCACCAUGUGGAAGGCUGCUCUUGAAAUGCUGUGUAUUAACUUCCCAUUGCUGCAGGGGUUGUCCAACCCUCCUGGCCAGCAUCACAUGGUGGCACUGGCUGGUUCACCAUCAUCAAUGUUGUUUGGAGGAUUGAUCAUGCUUUUCCAAACCCAUCCCCUCCACAGUCUUCCUGAGCCACAUUCUAACCAUGCGAAGUAAGUAGACAGAUUAUUAUCUUUAUUCAAUAGAAGAAGAGAACUAAGGUCCACAGAGAAGGAAGUUCAUUCAUCACUCAACAAAUAUUUAUCAAGAGUCCACAGUGCUGGCCCUGGGAUGUAGCAGAGACCAAACAAAUGGUCCCAGCCUAGUGUUGGUAAUAAGUCAGCAGCAGAAACCAUGACGGGCAUGUUGCUUUUUCAGCCAGCACCCCUUCCGUGAGGGAAUCAACCUCUCCACAUCCCAUUCCUGUUGUGGUGGUCAAUCAAGGUGUUCCCCCCUCAUUUUGCAUAGUUAGGGAGAGAGGGCAGUGGUCUGGGUGGAACCAAUAUGGCACCAUACUCCCUGGACACAGUGAUUGGGCAGAGGGUGGGCAGACGAUCCUAGCAGGACCAAUCAGAGUCUUCCCCGGGGUUUUCAUAUGGAUGUUGGGGGACAGACAUUUCUUUCUAAGGUUGCUAAAGUAGAUGGGUCUCAGGUUGCUGGCAAUCAUCUUGGUAUAGGAGAGAAGUGUCAAGAAGAAUAAAACCAAUUAGAGACAAGUAGUGUAGACACACAAGAGAGAAUCAGAGACUGACAACAUCGUUUGAUCCCUGGAUCCAGUUAUGCCUGAAGUUAGCACACCUACACUUUCUAGUUAUGUGAGCCAACCC
rnacentral:lncRNA from 1 species